rnacentral:rRNA from 1 species
UGGGGAAUUUUGGACAAUGGGCGAAAGCCUGAUCCAGCAAUGCCGCGUGUGUGAAGAAGGCCUUCGGGUUGUAAAGCACUUUUGUCCGGAAAGAAAUCCUUGGCUCUAAUACAGUCGGGGGAUGACGGUACCGGAAGAAUAAGCACCGGCUAACUACGUGCCAGCAGCCGCGGUAAUACGUAGGGUGCAAGCGUUAAUCGGAAUUACUGGGCGUAAAGCGUGCGCAGGCGGUUUGCUAAGACCGAUGUGAAAUCCCCGGGCUCAACCUGGGAACUGCAUUGGUGACUGGCAGGCUAGAGUAUGGCAGAGGGGGGUAGAAUUCCACGUGUAGCAGUGAAAUGCGUAGAGAUGUGGAGGAAUACCGAUGGCGAAGGCAGCCCCCUGGGCCAAUACUGACGCUCAUGCACGAAAGCGUGGGGAGCAAACAGGAUUAGAUACCCUGGUAGUCCACGCCCUAAACGAUGUCAACUAGUUGUUGGGGAUUCAUUUCCUUAGUAACGUAGCUAACGCGUGAAGUUGACCGCCUGGGGGAGUACGGUCGCAAGAUUAAAACUUAAAUGAAUUGACGGGGUCAUAGCUGUUUCU